UACGGGGGGAGCAAGCGUUGUUCGGAUUUACUGGGCGUAAAGGGCGCGUAGGCGGCCACCGCAAGUCGACUGUGAAAUCUCCGGGCUUAACCCGGAAAGGUCAGCUGAUACUGCGGGGCUAGAGUGCAGAAGGGGCAACUGGAAUUCUCGGUGUAGCGGUGAAAUGCGUAGAUAUCGAGAGGAACACCUGCGGCGAAGGCGGGUUGCUGGGCUGACACUGACGCUGAUGUGCGAAAGCUAGGGGAGCGAACGGG
rnacentral:rRNA from 1 species